rnacentral:rRNA from 1 species
AUAGAACGCUGGCGGCAUGCCUUACACAUGCAAGUCGAACGGCAGCACGGGAGCAAUCCUGGUGGCGUGUGGCGAACGGGUGAGUAAUGUAUCGGAACGUGCCCAGUCGUGGGGGAUAACGUAGCGAAAGCUACGCUAAUACCGCAUACGAUCUAUGGAUGAAAGCGGGGGAUCGCAAGACCUCGCGCGAUUGGAGCGGCCGAUAUCAGAUUAGGUAGUUGGUGGGGUAAAGGCCCACCAAGCCUGCGAUCUGUAGCUGGUCUGAGAGGACGACCAGCCACACUGGAACUGAGACACGGUCCAGGCUCCUACGGGAGGCAGCAGUGGGGAAUUUUGGACAAUGGGCGCAAGCCUGAUCCAGCAAUGCCGCGUGCAGGAUGAAGGCCUUCGGGUUGUAAACUGCUUUUGUACGGAACGAAACGGCUUUUUCUAAUACAGAGAGCUAAUGACGGUACCGUAAGAAUAAGCACCGGCUAACUACGUGCCAGCCGCCGCGGUAA